UUCUUUAUAUUUUUAGACAUCUUAAGCAUAUUAUCCGAGGAACUUGUUCUGUCCCACAACUUGGAAAGGGGGCAAAACAAGAAGAGGCUCAGACUACCCAAAUUUCGCCCGUGCCUUAUUAAAUGCAAUCGCCCUGGUGGAUCCCUCGGAGCCUCCCGAAAAGGCGCUGCGGUGCGUUAAAAACUUGAGUUGUACCAAAAAAAAGGCAACGCCGGCACCAGAUGCUGAGAAGGGGGUGCCAGCGACCCCGAUAACACCGGAAACCCCCGAGCGCAAAUUUUAAAAUAAACAAAUAAAAAUAAA